rnacentral:lncRNA from 1 species
CCACUAGAUCCUUCAUAAAAUCAAACUUCCCCAACGGAUCAUCUUCAGGCGAGUUUUCACAUCGGGCGAAUCCCAGAUGGGCUUCUCUAACAAUCGGAUUUCUACCAGGCUUCGCCAACAGAAAGUCUCUAUCUGAGCUUCUACAGCAGGUGACUCCCAUCUGUAGUAUCAGCACCUAAGCCACCCGACAACAGUAGACUCAUCAGUAGCUUCAGG